GAUGAACGCUGGCGGCGUGCCUAAUACAUGCAAGUCGAGCGAACGGACGAGAAGCUUGCUUUUCUGAUGUUAGCGGCGGACGGGUGAGUAACACGUGGAUAACCUACCUAUAAGACUGGGAUAACUUCGGGAAACCGGAGCUAAUACCGGAUAAUAUUUUGAACCGCAUGGUUCAAAAGUGAAAGACGGUCUUGCUGUCACUUAUAGAUGGAUCCGCGCUGCAUUAGCUAGUUGGUAAGGUAACGGCUUACCAAGGCAACGAUGGAUAGCCGACCUGAGAGGGUGAUCGGCCACACUGGAACUGAGACACGGUCCAGACUCCUACGGGAGGCAGCAGUAGGGAAUCUUCCGCAAAGGGCGAAAGCCUGACGGGGCAACGCCGCGUGAGUGAUGAAGGUCUUCGGAUCGUAAAACUCUGUUAUUAGGGAAGAACAUAUGUGUAAGUAACUGUGCACAUCUUGACGGUACCUAAUCAGAAAGCCACGGCUAACUACGUG
rnacentral:rRNA from 1 species